GGUGAACGCUGGCGGUAGGCCUAACACAUGCAAGUCGAACGGCAGCACAGUAUGAGCUUGCUCUUACGGGUGGCGAGUGGCGGACGGGUGAGGAAUACAUCGGAAUCUACUUUUUCGUGGGGGAUAACGUAGGGAAACUUACGCUAAUACCGCAUACGACCUACGGGUGAAAGCAGGGGAUCUUCGGACCUUGCGCGAUUGAAUGAGCCGAUGUCGGAUUAGCUAGUUGGCGGGGUAAAGGCCCACCAAGGCGACGAUCCGUAGCUGGUCUGAGAGGAUGAUCAGCCACACUGGAACUGAGACACGGUCCAGACUCCUACGGGAGGCAGCAGUGGGGAAUAUUGGACAAUGGGCGCAAGCCUGAUCCAGCCAUACCGCGUGGGUGAAGAAGGCCUUCGGGUUGUAAAGCCCUUUUGUUGGGAAAGAAAAGCAGCAGGUUAAUACCCCGCUGUUCUGACGGUACCCAAAGAAUAAGCACCGGCUAACUUCGUG
rnacentral:rRNA from 1 species